CCUACGGGUGACAGCAGUAGGGAAUAUUGCUCAAUGGGGGAAACCCUGAAGCAGCAACGCCGCGUGGAGGAUGAAGGUUUUCGGAUUGUAAACUCCUUUUGUUAGAGAAGAUAAUGACGGUAUCUAACGAAUAAGCACCGGCUAACUCCGUGCCAGCAGCCGCGGUAAUACGGAGGGUGCAAGCGUUACUCGGAAUCACUGGGCGUAAAGGGAGUGUAGGCGGAUAUGUAAGAUAGCGGUGAAAUGCCGGGGCUCAACCCCGGAACUGCCAUUAUGACUAUGUAUCUAGAGUAAUGGAGAGGAUAGCGGAAUACCCAGUGUAGAGGUGAAAUUCGUAGAUAUUGGGUAGAACACCGGUGGCGAAGGCGGCUAUCUGGCCAUUUACUGACGCUGAGGCUCGAAAGCAUGGGGAUCAAACAGGAUUAGAUACCCCUGUAGUC
rnacentral:rRNA from 1 species